rnacentral:rRNA from 1 species
GACGAACCGUGCGAACGUUAUUCGGAAUCAUUGGGCUUAAAGGGCGCGUAGGCGGCGGUGUACGUUGGAAGUGAAAUCCCAUCGGCUCAACCGUGGAAUUGCUCCCAGUACUGCAUCGCUCGAGGGGGAUAGGGGUCUGCGGAACUACCGGUGGAGCGGUGAAAUGUGUUGAUAUCGGUGGGAACGCCAGUGGCGAAAGCGGCAGACUAGACCCUUCCUGACGCUGAUGCGCGAAAGCUAGGGGAGCAAACGGG